rnacentral:rRNA from 1 species
AGACUGAACGCUGGCGGCAUGCCUAACACGUGCAAGUCGAACGGCAGCAUGUCCCCGCAAGGGGAUGAUGGCGAGUGGCGGACGGGUGAGGAAUACAUCGGAAUCUACCCCGUUGUGGGGGAUAACCCAUCGAAAGGUGGCUAAUACCGCAUAAGACGGUGACGUGAAAGCGGGGACCUUCGGGCCUCGCGCGAUGGAUGAGCCGAUGUCGGAUUAGCUAGGUUGGCGGGUAAGACGCCCACGAAGGCGACGAUCCGUAGCUGGUCUGAGAGGAUGAUCACGCCACGACGUGGGACUAGGACGACCGACCGGCCCAA